CCUACGGGAGGCAGCAGUGGGGAAUUUUGGACAAUGGGCGCAAGCCUGAUCCAGCCAUGCCGCGUGUGGGAAGAAGGCCUUCGGGUUGUAAACCACUUUUGUCAGGGAAGAAACGGCUUUUUCUAAUACAGAGAGCUAAUGACGGUACCUGAAGAAUAAGCACCGGCUAACUACGUGCCAGCAGCCGCGGUAAUACGUAGGGUGCAAGCGUUAAUCGGAAUUACUGGGCGUAAAGCGUGCGCAGGCGGCUUUGCAAGACAGAUGUGAAAUCCCCGGGCUCAACCUGGGAACUGCAUUUGUGACUGCAUGGCUAGAGUACGGUAGAGGGGGAUGGAAUUCCGCGUGUAGCAGUGAAAUGCGUAGAUAUGCGGAGGAACACCGAUGGCGAAGGCAAUCCCCUGGACCUGUACUGACGCUCAUGCACGAAAGCGUGGGGAGCAAACAGGAUUAGAUACCCUGGUAGUCCACGCCCUAAACGAUGUCGACUGGUUGUUGGACGGCUUGCUGUUCAGUAACGAAGCUAACGCGUGAAGUUGACCGCCUGGGGAGUACGGCCGCAAGGUUGAAACUUAAAUGAAUUGACGGCUGAGAGNGCGACGGACGACACGAGGGAGGAGG
rnacentral:rRNA from 1 species